rnacentral:misc_RNA from 1 species
CCGUACAAUCCCUUAACCCUGGUCUUUCAUUGAAGCUAAACCGAUGCUUGGUCGGAGAAGCACCGAUCAAAGAAGCCACCACACGCCACCGGUUGAUAUCAAGAUUAAGGAUAAUCUUGACCUUUCUUACUGCCCUCUUGAGGCGGCUAAGCAGAGACCAGUUGUCCAUACCCAUAAUAAGACUAGAAAUGGUGCGUAUCUAAAUUCUUUCUUUUGUGUGUGAAUUUAUGGUAGAAAAUUGUUUAUGACGAUGAAAACU